rnacentral:tRNA from 2 species
GUGUGCAUAGCUCAGCCAUUAGAGUAUCCCUCUGGAUUGAGGUGGUCAUGGGUUUGAAUCCCAUUGCACACA